UGUAAUGCCGAGACGUUGUGCUGUCGGUUGUGCGCUCCAUGGUAAGUAAAUUAUUCUCUUAAAUCUUAAUAGUAUAUUCUAUAGACUAAUAUUUCUAUCUAUUAUACACAACUAAACCAUAAAUAAAAACAAAAUUUUAUAAUUUUAAAUUUUGUGAGUAGUGUCGGUAUGUCUUUUUUUCUAUAAUGGUUUUGUUUGACAGCUUAUUUCAACUUGUGAUUUAAUUUGAGCUCUAGACUCUUAAGAAAUGCUGCCCUGGUUCUACAAUUUCUGAGUGCUACUUCAUUAUGAUUUGAUUUUUGGUUUUAUUUUUAUUUUUCUCCAUUAUCGUCUGAUUGAAAUUGACAAUUGAAAUGAUUUGAAAAGUAUAGUUAAAAUUCACUCUGACAAAGUGGGCAACAAACUACAUAAGUAUUAUUUCCAAUUUCAGAUGCAUCUUAAGGUGCUUGAUGCUGGAACAUAAUUAUAGUUUUAUUAGCAAGCCUAAAAGAACAGCUGGAAAAGAUCUAAUGGCUCCACAGCGCACAAAGAUCAAGCAUCUUCAAGCAGAAAUUUCGCGCUUGCGAAAAAAAGGACAAUCUUUCAAAGCAAGGUUAAAAGGUGGUGCAGAUCGAUCAAUCGACUUUUGUCAGGAAAAUUAACAUAUGUGGGUUAAGACGAAACAAAAACAGCUGCCCAACAAUAUUAUGAUAAACAUAAACAUUAUAAAAAUAAAAAAUAAUAUGCAAA